rnacentral:misc_RNA from 1 species
AAGUCGUAACAAGGUUUCCGUAGGUGAACCUGCGGAAGGAUCAUUAACACGUUAUCCACGUUUAUCAACAUUACUACGCAUUGUGCUCCCUGGUAGAUAACUGCGCGGCUCUGCUUCUUCGCGUCUGGUGGAGCUCAUGGCUGUUUCUUGUCAACCCGGCAACGGGUCCUUGAGACGAAGUGGGCAUAGCGAAGGGGUUCAGCAGUCAACCAACUUGUUGGGUUGAAGUCGCCCCACUUUCUAUUGGGCUUAAUGAUUCCCUCGCUCGUGCGAAAGCAAUCCCAACCACUUUGGGCAGCGUCCGGACACCGUACCCCUUUCACAAUAUUUUACCCUAUUUUGACUAAUUUUUAUAUUCUUUGGGAGAAAUCCUAUUGAAUUUACUAAGAUUUUAUCUUAACUAAGCACAACUCUUAGCAAUGGAUAUCUUGGUUCUC